GUGCUCACUUCAGCAGCACAUACACUAAAAUUGGAACCUUAUAGAGAAGAUUAGCAUGGCCCCUGUGCGAGGAUGACACACAAAUUCGUGAAGCAUUCCAUAUUUUU
ensembl:snRNA U6 U6 spliceosomal RNA